rnacentral:rRNA from 1 species
CACGUAGGGUGCAAGCGUUGUCCGGAAUUAUUGGGCGUAAAGAGCUCGUAGGCGGUCUGUCGCGUCUGCUGUGAAAACUCAGGGCUUAACCCUGAGCUUGCAGUGGGUACGGGCAGACUAGAGUGCGGUAGGGGGAGACUGGAAUUCCUGGUGUAGCGGUGAAAUGCGCAGAUAUCAGGAGGAACACCGGUGGCGAAGGCGGGGUCUCUGGGGCCGUAACUGACGCUGAGGAGCGAAAGCAUGGGGGAGCGAACAGG